AUAUUCUCGUGGAAAAAAAAUGGAUCUUCAAGUAGUCUCCCAAUGAAAUAUAAGUUUCAUAAAUAAGUACAUGUGCUCGUGUAGUUUGAUGAGUGAAUUUGAAAUAUAAUAUUAAAAAAAUAUAUUGUAGUUUGAUCUCCAUUUGCUGUUGCUGCAACCUCCACAUGCAAAGUUUGUGUUGAAAAUCUUAAACAUCGUGACCUUCUCCUUGUUUCGGAAGCAUGCGUCUUGCAAGACACGUCUUAUCUUCCACACCCAUAACCUCAUUCCAACAACUGCAUCUUCCAUCUUUGCCUUCAAACUCGCAACACUUUCUCAGCACUCUUAGCCGUGACACUCACCUACACGAAGCCCUUUUACAAAUGACCCUUCGUGGCCAUGACACGAAGUUCCAAGACUACAACACAGUCUUAAACGAGUGCGUGACUAAAAGGGCCUUUAGAGAAGGACAGAGAGUGCAUGCCCACAUCAUCAAAACUCACUAUCUUCCUUCUGUGUACCUCAGGACAAGGUUCAUUGUCUUGUAUAGCAAAUGUGAUUCUUUGCAAGAUGCUUGGCAUGUGUUUGAUGAAAUGUCGCAGCGGAAUGUCGUGUCGUGGACGGCUAUGAUUUCGGCUUAUUCUAAGAGAGGGUAUGCCUCUCAAGCCUUGAAUCUUUUUGUUCAGAUGUUAAGAGCAGGUACAGAACCUAAUGAGUUCACCUUUGCUACUGUGCUUACUUCAUGUACAGGUUCUCUAGGGUUCAUCUUAGGGAGGCAAAUCCACUCUCUUAUCGUAAAAUUGAAUUAUGAAGCCCAUGUUUAUGUUGGAAGCUCUCUUCUUGACAUGUAUGCCAAAGUUGGUAAAAUUCAUGAAGCUCGAGGGGUAUUUGAAUGCUUGCCAGAAAGAGAUGUAGUUUCUUGUACUGCCAUAAUAACUGGAUAUGCUCAACUGGGUCUGGAUGAAGAGGCAUUAGAGCUAUUUCGCCGGUUACAAGGGGAAGGAAUGGAAUCAAAUUAUGUUACUUACACUAGUGUUUUAACUGCACUUUCCGGGCUUGCUGCUCUAGAUCAUGGCAAACAAGUGCACAACCAUGUUCUUCGCUCUAAAGUUCCCUCAUUUGUGGUUCUUCAAAACUCCUUGAUAGACAUGUACUCAAAAUGUGGAAACCUCACUUACUCAAGAAGGAUAUUUGAUACAAUGCAUGAGAGAACUGUCAUCUCUUGGAAUGCUAUGCUUGUGGGGUAUAGCAAACAUGGAGAGGGAAGAGAAGUGCUUGAGCUUUUCACUUUAAUGAGAGAAGAAAACAAAGUCAGACCUGACCGUGUUACAAUUUUGGCUGUGUUAUCUGGCUGCAGUCAUGCAGGACUGGAAGACAGCGGACUGGAUAUUUUUCAUGACAUCGCUAGUGGGAAGAUUGGAAUUCAGCCAGAGACUGAGCAUUAUGGAUGUGUUGUUGAUUUGCUUGGUCGAGCUGGUCGAAUUGAAGAAGCUUUUGAGUUCAUAAAAAAAAUGCCUUCUGAACCAACAGCAGCUAUGUGGGGUUCACUCUUAGGUGCUUGCAGGAUUCAUUCUAAUGUAGACAUUGGUGAAUUUGUGGGUCAUCGGCUUCUAGAAAUUGAGCCUGGAAAUGCUGGAAAUUAUGUUAUUCUGUCUAAUUUAUAUGCUUCAGCAGGAAGAUGGGAAAAUGUAAGAUCACUAAGGGACCUGAUGUUGAAAAAGGCUGUAAUAAAAGAGCCUGGAAGAAGCUGGAUUGAGCUGGAUCAAGUACUUCACACUUUCCAUGCAAGUGAUCGUUCCCAUCCAAGGAGAGAAGAAGUAUCUGCCAAAGUGAAGGAAUUAUCAGUCAGGUUUAAAGAAGCUGGUUAUGUUCCUGAUUUGAGUUGUGUUUUACAUGAUGUGGAUGAGGAGCAGAAGGAGAAGAUACUUCUGGGUCACAGUGAAAAGUUGGCUUUGUCUUUUGGGCUAAUUGCUACUCCUGACAGUGUGCAAAUUCGUGUAAUAAAAAAUCUCCGUAUUUGUGUUGAUUGCCAUAAUUUUGCCAAAUAUAUAUCAAAGAUUUAUGGAAGAGAAGUGUCUUUGAGGGAUAAAAACCGAUUUCAUCGAAUUGUUGGAGGAAAAUGUUCCUGUGGAGAUUAUUGGUGAUGUCUUGAUAGAGAGCACUCAAUGAACAUCUAAUGUGCAUCAAAAAAGUUAUUGGCCUUUCUCGGGGACCACUGCUCCGAAUGGGCUAAUUUUAAUGCUGAUGGUUAUAAUGCUGCAUCAUUAAAAGUUGGCACAUAUGUCUAUUCAGGGAUGAGGACUACAAAAUUCACGGCUGUCAAGUAAGCACUCCUUCCACAUUACAAUCAGACAUUAAGAGAUGGUAGAAAUGAUUCAGCUUGAAGCCAUGCUCUUCCCCUUUCCUAGAAGAUCCUUUGCUUCUAGAUAUGUAGUGAAAUUAGUGAGAAUGCUGUGCAGGCUUGUUCUUAGCUCGUAUUUGCUCCAAUUGAAGGACUGUUCCUGGAUGAUGCUCCAAUAGAAAACCACUCCUUUACUCUCCAGUGCUGAAUAUUGCCUUCAAAUAGUUUUUCCCUUUUUCUUAAUUGGUUCAAUGUUGAUUGCAUAUUGCUGUUUAACGUGAAGGGGCUUUGAUCAUAUGCACGGUCAGCGGCUCAGCCACAUGAAAUGUUCGAACACUUCAAAACCGUAACUUUGCACCCUCAUAUCUUUCUCAUUUGUUAAGGAAAUUGUUCAUAUGAUAUAUGCAUGGAAACCUUUUGUAAUGUCUAGUCUCUAUUAUGUCCAAUUUAAAAGAAAGACAGAUUCUGUAGAGAGAGAGAGAAUGAGAUUUGCGAGUCAACCCCAUGAAUUAUUCAAACACUUGAAUUUGUACUCUCGUACCUGAACUGUUUUUGGUGAAAUUUUGUAAACGUUCCUGAUUAUGUAUAUGAAAUUUUUGUAUGAUAAUAUUUGUUAGCUC